rnacentral:rRNA from 1 species
GGUGAGUAACACGUAGGCAACCUGCCUGUAAGACUGGGAUAACUCGUGGAAACGCGAGCUAAUACCGGAUAACACUUUUCAUCUCCUGAUGAGAAGUUGAAAGGCGGCUUUUGCUGUCACUUACAGAUGGGCCUGCGGCGCAUUAGCUAGUUGGUAAGGUAACGGCUUACCAAGGCGACGAUGCGUAGCCGACCUGAGAGGGUGAUCGGCCACACUGGGACUGAGACACGGCCCAGACUCCUACGGGAGGCAGCAGUAGGGAAUCUUCCGCAAUGGACGAAAGUCUGACGGAGCAACGCCGCGUGAGUGAUGAAGGUUUUCGGAUCGUAAAACUCUGUUGUUAGGGAAGAACAAGUACUAUAGUAACUGAUGGUACCUUGACGGUACCUAACCAGAAAGCCACGGCUAACUACGUGCCAGCAGCCGCGGUAAUACGUAGGUGGCAAGCGUUGUCCGGAAUUAUUGGGCGUAAAGCGCUCGCAGGCGGUUCUUUAAGUCUGAUGUGAAAUCUUACGGCUCAACCGUAAACGUGCAUUGGAAACUGGGGAACUUGAGUGCAGAAGAGGAGAGUGGAAUUCCACGUGUAGCGGUGAAAUGCGUAGAGAUGUGGAGGAACACCAGUGGCGAAGGCGACUCUCUGGUCUGUAACUGACGCUGAGGAGCGAAAGCGUGGGGAGCGAACAGGAUUAGAUACCCUGGUAGUCCACGCCGUAAACGAUGAGUGCUAGGUGUUAGGGGGUUUCCGCCCCUUAGUGCUGAAGUUAACGCAUUAAGCACUCCGCCUGGGGAGUACGGCCGCAAGGCUGAAACUCAAAAGAAUUGACGGGGGCCCGCACAAGCGGUGGAGCAUGUGGUUUAAUUCGAAGCAACGCGAAGAACCUUACCAGGUCUUGACAUCCUCUGAACACUCUAGAGAUAGAGUUUUCCCUUCGGGGACAGAGUGACAGGUGGUGCAUGGUUGUCGUCAGCUCGUGUCGUGAGAUGUUGGGUUAAGUCCCGCAACGAGCGCAACCCUUGAUCUUAGUUGCCAGCAUUAAGUUGGGCACUCUAAGGUGACUGCCGGUGACAAACCGGAGGAAGGUGGGGAUGACGUCAAAUCAUCAUGCCCCUUAUGACCUGGGCUACACACGUGCUACAAUGGAUGGAACAAAGGGAAGCGAACCCGCGAGGUCAAGCAAAUCCCACAAA